AACAAACGCUGGCGGCGUGCCUAAUACAUGCAAGUCGAACGGGGAAAGCUUUCGGGUGAGUACUAGUGGCGCACGGGUGAGUAACGCGUGGAUAAUCUGCCUUAGAGUGGGGGAUAACUAGUCGAAAGAUUAGCUAAUACCGCAUAAGACCACAAGAACUGCGGUUCAAGAGGUCAAAGGUUUUUCGCUCUAAGAUGAGUCCGCGUAAGAUUAGCUAGUUGGUGAGGUAAUGGCUCACCAAGGCGACGAUCUUUAACUGGUCUGAGAGGAUGAUCAGUCACACUGGAACUGAGACACGGUCCAGACUCCUACGGGAGGCAGCAGUAGGGAAUAUUGCACAAUGGAGGAAACUCUGAUGCAGCGACGCCGCGUGAGUGAUGAAGGCCUUCGGGUCGUAAAGCUCUGUCGCAGGGGAAUAACACAAUGAAUGUACCCUGUAAGAAAGGAUCGGCUAACUUCGUGCCAACCGCCGCCGUAAGAC
rnacentral:rRNA from 1 species